AGUUUUGAGUCCUUGCAUAUCAGACAAGGCCUUUGUUUUUAACCUAUACUUCAUUUUGAUUGGACUUGCGAUUCUAGGUUCCAACUCACUUCCCUUUAGAACUGUGAAGGCAUUUCUGUGUUACCUUCUUGCAUCAAGUUUUGCAGUAAUUCAAGCAAGAAAGAUGAUGGUUUGGACCAGGGGAGAAGCAAGAGAGGUGGUGAGAAUUGGUUGUUUUCUGGAUGUGUUUUGAACGUAGAAGCUGAAAGAAUCUGCCAAUGGACCCUGAGAGAAAGGGGCAAGGCCUGAGCAACUGAAGGAUGGAGUUACCAUCAAAUGAGAUUGAGAGACUUGAGGACUUUCCUAUGAAGAGGAAUGCUCUUUUGCUCUUUUCCCAGCCCAAGGCUCAUUUUUAAUUCAAACGGCCUUGGGAAUAUUCGUGACUUAAAAGGGACAAAAGGACCACCUCCAAACUUGCCUGAAUCUGCCUUGAGCUGGCAAUGAAGGAAGAAGGCAGACUGAGGAAGGGUCUGUCUGCAGCCAGAGAUUGUGUCCUGAGAAGGGCGCAGGCCUCACGAGCCCUGUGUUGUCAACCUGCCCUGACGACUCCACACUGGCAGGAACAGGGGUGAAGCCAAAUCUUUGCAGCCUGAGGUUUUGGGACCUCUCAGAGCAAUGACUCUGACUCUAUUUUCUUUUUCAGUUUGUUUCCUCUUACAGUUUUAACCCUCUCCUACCAACCUAUCUUCCUCCAGGCUCUAUCUGUGUUAACAUAGGUUUGGUAGGAGACUAAUAGCAUACCUAUCUCUCCCUUCUGAAAUUAGCACCAAGACCUAGGAGCCAGACAUAUGGCAAUCGAAAUACCAGAUUUGCUACUGAUGAAGGUAAGCUGGAGAAAAGGGCUACAGUCUAUGGCCAAGUAGAGUUCUUCCUAUGUUCCCUGUGAUCUGAUCAUUCCCAACCAGUCCCUGGCACAUUUAGUUAAAAACAAGCCUCUCCUGGCAGGGGUAUAGCCUGUCAGCCCUACAAAAAAGAAAAAAAAAAAUGCCUUUAAUAGACAGGCUGGCUCUGUAGGUGAAGACACAGAAGGCUCCCAGGCAAGCAAGCUCAAGUCCUGCUCAGUUCACCAGUCAGAUGAGUCAGUCUUUGUGACUGGAAGAACAGUUAAGUGAGGGAGUCAGAGAGAAGCUGGAAGUGACCCUCCCAUACUUCUUCCUCCUGAGAAGUCCAGUUCCCUCCCCCUUAUGGAAACACGAGAAGCACAGGAUGUUAUCCCUUAUCGAUGUCCUCCUAUUGCUUCCUCCUCUAAUGACCAAGUGUCACAGGACGAACUUUGGGACCCUUUGUCAAAUGGAGCAGGAAAUGGAAGUGUGUAUUGGCAGCCAGAAUCAACAUGCAAAGAUUUCCCAGCCCCUGUAGCCAUGUGCCAGUUCUGGUGCCUUGAGCCUUGGAUACGCCAACAAAUCUCGUCUUUCCCCACUGUGCCCAGCAGCAGAAUCUGCCUCCAAGUCUGUCUGAAGUUAGCUUCUCAGCUGGAACCUCCCAGUGUGAGCUGAAGAGCCUCCGAGAGAACUCAUCCCAGAGAAGGGGGCAGCAGUGUGGUGCAUUUGCCUGAGCUCCAAAGCCUUGGAGUCCAAGAAAGGAGAAAACUGAUGCCUGCUGAGGUGAGAAGACAUGUCCCAACUCACAGGACUGCAGUCCAGAGCCUACACACAUCGUCCUUCCAUGGUCUUUCCAUGACAUCCCUUCAGGCAAGUCACUUGGGCCCUUUAUUUUAUUUAAGAACAACAAAAAUAACUUAACAUCCUCAGGUAGGUCAAGCGACUUGUUUUAUUGAUUUUUUAAUCACAGGCCUCCAUAAAAGAAAUUCAGAACAAGUCCACAAACAGAUGUGAAGGUGUGGGAAAUAAUACUCCCCGCCCCCCCAUAUCGACUCUUUGUGUAGCUUGGCAGUUCUGUUAUGUACUUUUUGAUAAACCCCUGAAUUGAAGAAACUUGCAAAUGAAAAGUCAUAAAAAGCUAACCUUGAGC